rnacentral:rRNA from 1 species
CUUGGUCAUUUAGAGGAAGUAAAAGUCGUAACAAGGUUUCCGUAGGUGAGCCUGCGGAAGGAUCAUUACCUUUCAAUGCAGCAGAAUUGGGAUGGUUGAGUAUCUCGCCUCUCCGUUCUGCCUGUAUUCUACCCUUGUUUGUCAUAUACUAUUAUUUCCUCGGCAGGCUUGCCUGCCGAGUGAAACCAUUUAUAACCUUUUUAAUUUUCAAUCAGCGUCUGAAAAAAAUUAAUAAUUACAACUUUCAACAACGGAUCUCUUGGUUCUGGCAUCGAUGAAGAACGCAGCGAAAUGCGAUAAGUAGUGUGAAUUGCAGAAUUCAGUGAAUCAUCGAAUCUUUGAACGCACAUUGCGCCCCUUGGUAUUCCAUGGGGCAUGCCUGUUCGAGCGUCAUUUGUACCUUCAAGCUUUGCUUGGUGUUGGGUGUUUGUCCCGCGGGACUCGCCUUAAAGUAAUUGGCAGCCAGUGUUUGGUUUUGAAGCGCAGCACAAGUCGCGAUUCAAGGCUACACGCCCGCUUCCACAAGCCUUUUUUCACUUUUGACCUCGGAUCAGGUAGGGAUACCCGCUGAACUUAAGCAUAUCAAUAAGCGGAGGA